UACGUAGGGUGCGAGCGUUAAUCGGAAUUAUUGGGCGUAAAGGGUGCGUAGGCGGUUUGACAAGUCUUGUGUGAAAUCUAUGGGCUCAACCCAUAGUCUGCACGGGAAACUGUCGGGCUUGAGUAUUGGAGAGGUGAGUGGAAUUUCCGGUGUAGCGGUGAAAUGCGUAGAUAUCGGAAGGAACACCUGUGGCGAAAGCGGCUCACUGGACAAUAACUGACGCUGAUGCACGAAAGCUAGGGGAGCAAACAGG
rnacentral:rRNA from 1 species